GUGAAGAGUGGAUUUGAAUUUCAUGCCAACUUUAAAAGAAUGUUUAGAAGAGGUGUAUUCAAGUCAUCGUUUGUAUGAAUGCUUUUUAAAUGCAUUUUUAAUAAAUCAUAAAACAUCACAUCAGUGACCCCAGUUCUCUCAGAACGCUUGGAAAGUGUGGCUUAUUGGACUUGAGAGCAAAAAAGGAUGCUAACGAGCUCAGUCUUUCAGAUAUCACAAGUGGCCUCCUUGUAAAAAGCCAAUAAUCCUUACAGUUCUGGUUGAGUAGCUUAAGACCCCCCUUGAUCUUUGGGAGGAUGGGAGUCAAACAUUCCAAUCCCGGUGAUCCCCUUCGGCGAUCUCUGUUGGUGUAAAAGACAAAUUGGGCCCAGAUCCUUUUCCCCGGGAGUUUUAUUUGCAUUAAAAAGAGGUUAUGAAAAUAACUUUCUGUCUUGCCUUUGUCGAAGUUGAGGGGGCUGGGCUUGAGGAAGCUGGGGGGAGUCUACGUCUGGAGUAGAAGGAUUGUGUGAGUCUUUUUGACAAGAAGCUGGCGAUUCUUCUCAUCUUGUUUGUUUCGCCAGACCUCAACAAUUCCAUCUGUUCAUAUAUGCAGUCUAUAAGGGGCGUCAGGAAUGGAGGGGGCUACCUGUUAACAGUUGUGCUUUUAUUCCAGGCACCCCAGGGAGGCAGCAGGCAUGGUUCGCUGCUGCUUAAAGACUUGGCCGUGGUGCCAGAGACACAUCUGGUCCGUUUGAGCCGUGCAGAUUCUACUUGGAACCAUCUCCAUCUCAAUGAACCGUCUGAAAGAAUAUGGCGCAUCACUGUGCUUGAACCUGCCCUGGAUGCCAGCAGCAGACAAUUAUAAACCUUGUGAGUGCUCACUGUACAGAGAGGGGGGACGGACGGAGUCGUGCACUGAACUCCUGACCCUCUUCACACACCAAGCGUCUGUUGUGGACUCCGGGAGGUACAAGAUGGGUCACAGCAAGCUGUGAAGG
rnacentral:lncRNA from 1 species